GUAUAUAGAUAUAUAUAAUACAUAAGAUGAAUGUGUGCGCAGCGAGCGCGAGCGCGGAGGACGUUGACUCAAUGCGUGUGUGCGUCCUACACGGUUCGCCGACGCAUGUGGCCGGCCGGCUCCGGCACGUAAAGGUAUUAUCUGGUAUACAGGUAUAGGGUAAUAGUGGUUAUGAUUAUGGCUAGCGACCGGACUCGCGUGCGAGCGUUUCGGUGUAAGCAUAGCGCGGUGCAUGCCGCCCGAUGCGCGAUUUUCGCGCGCGGGACCGUACUGCGAUACAUAAUAUACGAUAAUAUGCGAACGAAUUUGUUCACGUCCAUCGUCGUCGCGUUAUUGUAUUAUAACAGGUGACAGGCGAAAUGAUGACCGCAGAUGACGACUGUUUUGGUUUUCCCAUUUUUAUUAUUUUUAUUUUUUCUUUGUCAUUGUCCUUUUGUCGUAUACCGAUAUCGUCGCUAUAUAUAUAUAUAUGUAUAAUGUAAUAUACACACACGCAGAAAUGAUUAUUUGAAGAAUCUAUUUUGUGUUUUUUGUUUUUUUUUUUUUUUUUUACCGUCGAAAAAACGUAGUAAUCAAUCUACAAUAGUAGUAGCGGUGUUAUGAGUGAAAUCUCGGCGUUGGGCAAA